rnacentral:rRNA from 1 species
GAUGAACGCUGGCGGCGUGCCUAAUACAUGCAAGUCGAGCGAACGGACGAGAAGCUUGCUUCUCUGAUGUUAGCGGCGGACGGGUGAGUAACACGUGGAUAACCUACCUAUAAGACUGGGAUAACUUCGUGAAACCGGAGCUAAUACCGGAUGAUAUUUUGAACCGCAUGGUUCAAAAGUGAAAGACGGUCUUGCUGUCACUUAUAGAUGGAUCCGCGCUGCAUUAGCUAGUUGGUAAGGUAAUGGCUUACCAAGGCAACGAUGCAUAGCCGACCUGAGAGGGUGAUCGGCCAAACUGGAACUGAGACACGGUCCAAACUCCUAAGGGAGGCAGCAGUAGGGAAUCUUCCGCAAUGGGCGAAAGCCUGACGGAGCAACGCCGCGUGAGUGAUGAAGGUCUUCGGAUCGUAAAACUCUGUUAUUAGGGAAGAAAAUAUGUGUAAGUAACUGUGCACAGCUUGACGGUACCUAAUCAGAAAGCCACGGCUAACUACGUG